GCUGCAGCGUGAGAGAGAGAGAAUAUUGCAAUCUGACAGAAUCAAAUCUCCUUUCUGCCACCAGCGUCUUUUCAUCUCCCAAGAAAUCUUUUACCCCCAAAUCCAAAUUUGCUCAGAAAAUAUUCUUUUCUCUACCGAUGCAGCAUCUGUUCUUCACCCUUUCACUCCUUUAAAACUCCCUUUCAAGAACAUUCCCGGUCCUUUUCCAUCUCCAAUCUGCAAAAUCUGCCACUUAAAAUACUUUCAACCUCAAGAGUUCAAGACAUCCAUCAAGCUUAUCAAGCCAAAUAAGCAAUACUACAGCACAUUCAUCAAAACCAAACUGAACAAGGUUCGAGUAACCAAGGGCAUUAGAGCUUCAAGCAGAGCAAGCACUGAAUCUCCACAUCGAGGUUGAUCGGCUGGUGCAGACGGGGCUGAGCUGAGGCUAAGGUUCCACGAUGUCUUUUGCUUCCGCUAAUCACUAUCUUGUCACCUCAUCCUCCAUCCCCUAAAUUGAGAAGUUCUAUUGUGUGGUAUAAUAUUAUCUUGUUGGGCUUAGACUCUUAACCCAUAUUUCUUUUAAUGAAGCCAUCACUGAUUAUGAUC